rnacentral:misc_RNA from 1 species
GGUUGCCAGAAUGAAAUAUAAAUAAUAGAUUAGAUGAGGGAAAUCCCGCUAGUCAGUGACAGGAAGGAAACAAAAACCUUGAAUAAUAAACAACAAUAAGAAGUAACAAUAACAACUAAUAACAGUAACAUCAUAACACAACCUACCAUCCAAUCCCCAUUUGGAAACCAAAAAUACACUGUACAUAAGUCUGCUGCAUGAGCCCUUGCCAACGAAAAAUGGGGUCUGUGGCUGUAGGACCCAAAUUUUCAGGUUGGGCCAACCUUGACUGGAUGUUCCCACAAUCACUCCAGAACAGCAACCUCUUGAUCAACCCUCCAAUAAUUUGCGUCGUUGAACUCUUUAAUGCCAGCUCCUCCAUCAUCAGAAUUCUCCUUCUCCGUAACCUUUGGGAUUAUGUUCCUCUUUAAAGGCCCUGCUUCACCAACUAUACCCUCCUUGAGAGCCUGUUCCAUUGCCUUCUCCGUUCCUUCUAAUUCCACACCAACGAAUUCAACAUCCUCUUCAAACAAUGAGGGCAAAGUCGCAGAUUUAUGGCUUGUAUCACUGCCCACUGACCCAUCACUAGAGUCCUUGGAAGGUGAUGAGCCAUUUGGCAGUAUAGAUUCUCCACUUGAAGGGGAAUUAACAUCAUGAGUUGCUACCUCAGCUUGGUUAGAAAGAUUGACAUGAGAGAUAUCAUGAUCUUCAAAUGGAUUCAAACUUGAUCCACCUACUUGCAAAUCUGAUGUUUCUCCCCAUCCUACCCAUGCAGGGAAAGGCCUGCCUCUAAACAAGUCAUCAUUGCCUGGAGUAUCAAAUCUGAAGAAUCCAAUAUCCUGGGGAGUAGUCGUCUUCUCACUUUGUGGAAUGGGAACACUCCCAGAAAAUCCAUUGGCAAAGUUUGGAUUGGAAGUGGAUGUAGAAUUAACAGUGUCUUUGCUCUCAGUUAACUCAUCAUCUUCUCCAACUACCACCUCAUCAUCACUACUGCUGUUACCGCCAUUAGCAGCUCCAUUCAAGUUUAUCUCGUCCAUUAUUUCCAUGGGUGAUGUACUCACAGGGGCAUUACCAACUCUAUCAUCUUGGAAUGCAAACCAGUUGGAAUUUGUGAAUAGACUGCUGCAUUCAUAAAGAACAUAUGUUAUCAAUUCAUGAACAGAUGGCUCGAGAAUUUGCCAAGCUAAAAUUGUGGUCCCAUCUGAUGUUCAGGAGAAUUUCCCAAAUGAUGCACUAUUUUUAUCAUGGGGAACAAAAAAAGCACCAUGCCAAAACCCAUACCCAUAUCCAAAGAAUAAAAUAAGUAGGUAAAUUCUAUGCGCAUUCCGGAAACCUGCCAGACCUUAUUGGUCAUUACAGGUUCAAGUCAAAAACACAUCAUGAUAUCUCAAUAGAUCAUAGAUGCAUUAGAUUUUCGCUUUGUACAGCCUAACUUGAGAUGUAGUUCUCCACCCUAAAUAAUCUAGUACAUGAAUCGAUAAAGUUACAAAUCAAAACUUAGCAAGUAUGAAUACAGUUUUUUCCCCAGUACAUUGAAAGAAAUGAAAUGGAAGACAAUUUAUAGCACAUUUAACAGGAGUCGCAUUAUUCAAUGGCUAAAAGACUCACCUCCCUUGGUCAUCACCAAGCCUCAGGGAUGAUAUAACAACUUCAGCAGACUCAUCAUCAAAGUAGACAUCCUCAUCAUCUCGAUCAAGGCCGCCAUUGUCCUGCAACCAGGAUAAUAAUAAGUAAAAGCCAUUCCUCUCUUUUUGCUUGGACGAUAUAAGACUAAGAUGGUUAAGAACCACAAACCCAGUAACAGAUAAUGAAAAGAUAAAAAGGUGAAGAAAAGCAUCAACUUAUGGAAUAAAGUGAAGUCCAAACAUACCUCUUCAUUAUCCUCAUUUCCAUACAUUUUGUAUCUAAAAGCCUGGCUUAAGUUAUUCGCUAGUGCUGCUACAUCAUAAUCUCUGUCAUGAAGAUCAUCCUCAUCACUGUCCCUUGUCCUAUCUUGCAAUGCUGUUGGGCGGCCGCAUGCCCAUCGGUAGACAUUUUCAACUGCAUUACGCUCUUGCAAAAUGCUGGCCUGCCACUCAUUCCAUUCACUAUUUUCCUGUAGAUAUGUCUGAAUACGGCUAUUGGCGUUUCCCAACUGAACAAGUUUAUUAGAAAUUCGCGUAAUGUGACCAAGGUUUCCUGCCCGUGGUGCCCGCUUUCCAGCAGCAGGAACAGUUAGCUGAUUAAUAUCGCCAGAAAUAAUGGGGUUUUUAUCAGUUUGAAGGAUUUUUCCAAUGAAAUCACAGUCUCGAAGAAGAUGAUCAACCAUAGUAUCGCUCUUAGUUUCCAAGCAUGACAAUAUAAUACUCUCCACAUGAUGAUGCAACGCAUUAUUGAAUGGGUACUCAAAGAACAAAUCAAGGAUCCGUUUAAUAGUUCCUGAACUGACCAAUUCCUUCUCAGUAGCUUCAUUCCCCGUUCUUAAAAGCACCGCAAUGAACUCAACAAUCUUUAAGCGAUGCUUCCCAAGAGGAGGCUUCAGUUCUCCAUAUGUUGUAGGUAAAAUUUUAUCGUCAGACAACACAUUUAAUAGCAUAAGUAAGUCACCAAGUUUAGGCAGCAUUGCAUCAAUAGUCUCUGGAUUUACAGGGAUUGAGGACUCAUAAAUUUGUUGACUUCGAAAAGAAUGCAGCAAGGGGGAAAAAGUUGCAGAUCUUUUAGGAUCCAGUAAAGAUAUACACACAGAAAGUGAGUGAACAAGUCCAGAUUUUGAAUGUGAAUCUUCCAAUGCAUGUCCAAAUAUCCUUGAAACAAAGCUUGGACUAGAGAGUUUAGUCGCCAAAGCUGAGGGAGCAUUUCGAGAUAUUGCACAUAAUGUUUCUGCUGCAUUCGCAUGAACUUCAGGAGGGCUAGAAGGAUUCAAUUUGUCCACAAUCAUUUCUAGCAAAUUGCUAUCAGCUAACCAUUGCAUCACAUCAAUGAAAUUGGGAUACACAUGAUCAUCGGCCCCCACCAGCCGAACCAAAACCUCCAUGAUAGAUGUUAUUCCAAUUAAAUCAACCAGUUGACGGAAAACAUCCUGAUGGGAUUGAACAUAUUUCAUAAGUGGGACAGUCUUGCGUACCAUAAGGCAAACAACCACCUUGCUGAAAUACCCAGCCAGCAAAGCACUAUGAGGUCGGUUUGGUUCCAAGAAAGAGAAGAGUAAGUUCAUUAACUCCUCUUCCUCCGCUAAAGUCUUAAGAAUUACAUCAAUUUCACAUGUAAAUAUCUCACAGGCAAUGAAGGGAAACUUGAAGGUGCGUUUGCUUUCAGCAUCCUCAGGAGGUUCUUCAAUAAUAUACCGCAAUAACUGCUCUACGUGGGCUCUAUCUCGUAUAAAAUUGAUGAGACGACUGUUUAAAGCUUUGCAUUCUUGGAUUAUUUCUUCCUCGUCCAGAAGCUCUUCCAAUGUGAAAUUUUCCUUGUCUAGUAUUGACUCCACAGGAGAGGAGGCAGAAAGAGCCGUGAGCUUCCAAAACAUCUUUAAAGAGAGGAGAGAUUCAGCAGAGGUAGAAGCAGGAGCUGCGUAGAUCUGUAGACCCUAAAAGAGUGGGCAGAAAUCUAGGUCUUAUUCAAAAAUAAAAGGGGAAAAGAAACCAAAAAACAGCUUGAGAUUCGAGUAAUAACUGGCGAGAUAGCUGAAGCUUGAAACCCUAAUUGGAAAGAACAGAGAGAUCAAAAAACAGGGAGAGCAUGAAGAUCGAGAGUGGAGAAGAAGCAAAGGUGAAAAAAUUGAAAAUGGAAGAGCAGCUUCGAAGAACAAAAGAGACGGAGUUGCGAGAGGCGGAAAAGUGCACAAGAGGUAC